rnacentral:rRNA from 1 species
CCUACGGGAGGCAGCAGUGAGGAAUAUUGGUCAAUGGACGAGAGUCUGAACCAGCCAAGUAGCGUGAAGGAUGACUGCCCUAUGGGUUGUAAACUUCUUUUAUAUGGGAAUAAAACGUUCCACGUGUGGGAUUUUGUAUGUACCAUAUGAAUAAGGAUCGGCUAACUCCGUGCCAGCAGCCGCGGUAAUACGGAGGAUCCGAGCGUUAUCCGGAUUUAUUGGGUUUAAAGGGAGCGUAGGUGGAUUGUUAAGUCAGUUGUGAAAGUUUGCGGCUCAACCGUAAAAUUGCAGUUGAAACUGGCAGUCUUGAGUACAGUAGAGGUGAGCGGAAUUCGUGGUGUAGCGGUGAAAUGCUUAGAUAUCACGAAGAACUCCGAUUGCGAAGGCAGUUCACUGGACUGCAACUGACACUGAGGCUCGAAAGUGUGGGUAUCAAACAGGAUGAGAUACCCCAGUAGUC